rnacentral:rRNA from 1 species
AGGGUUUGAUUAUGGCUCAGGAUGAACGCUGGCGGCGUGCUUAACACAUGCAAGUCGAGCGAGGGGAAGCGCUUCGGUGCAGAACCUAGCGGCGGACGGGUGAGUAACGCGUGGGCAACCUGGCUCAUACAGGGGAAUAAUCACUGGAAACGGUGACUAAUACCGCAUGUCGUAUUCGAUAGGCAUCUAUUGAAUAAAAAAGGAGAAAUCCGGUAUGAGAUGGGCCCGCGUCUGAUUAGCUAGUUGGUGAGAAAAAAGCCCACCAAGGCAACGAUCAGUAGCCGACCUGAGAGGGUGAACGGCCACAUUGGGACUGAGACACGGCCCAA